rnacentral:lncRNA from 1 species
CACACACACACACACACACACACAUAUAUAUAUAUAUGUUCGUAUUCAGAUUGUCUGAAUGAGGCUUCAAAAGAACUCAAGAUUACCAGAUACUCCGUCCUUCCUGGUCAUACUGAUAAAGAAAAAUGAAGGUGGUGAUUCUGAUGGCCCUUCUUGUGCUCACAGCUCACUGUGUACCAGUAUCAAGAUUCCCUGGCAAGAUUUUCCUCUACUGUCCUUUCUUCAACCGGAAGCACUGCCAGAGGUUCUGUGAAUUCUUUAAAAUCUGUAGGAAGCCGCCACUGAGCAGAAGAACUACUGUGGUCCCAUCAUUCCCACUCACAACAGAAGCUGACCUUUCUCUGACUGGGGGUCCUCUUACUCCGACAGGCGGGGAGAUUCAAGAUAGUAGGGUUCCUCACAGCCCAGAAAAGCCUCUUCCCCCACACAGUGCCCAUGCUACAGUCGGAUCAUGCUUCCAGCUCCUUCCUGCACCACAGUGACUCCUCCCUACCUGAUGUGUCAAUAAAAAGCUUACAUU